CAUGGCAGCCAUCAGUAACGGGAGAGGCACCCCCACCCACCAGUCCGGCCCCAGCUGUGUUGAGUUUCAUCUUGAUGGGGCCAGCUGGGAGGCCACCAAUGGGUGGGUGCAGCGCAGAAGUGGAAUGUGGUUCCUGGUGCUGCCAGCUGCCAGUGACCUGGCAAGGGGCUGCAAAGGUCAAAAGGUGCCCCUUCCUCAUUCCACCUGAGGAACCCGGGGAGCUCAUCCCCAGAUCCCUGAUCCCCACCCCUGACAGAUGCCUCCGUCACCUCUCCCCCUUGCUGAGCUCCUCACCAGGCAGGGAGGGGACACAGGUGGGUCCUGCAGCUGGGAAUCCUGUGCUCUAUAUCCUGUCCUGGCAACCGAGCCCUAGGUUCAGGCAGAUGAGGCCACACUCUGGCAACCCAGGUCUUACCUCCUUCCUGGAAGAGGCCCAGACACUGACGACCUAGGGCCAAAGGCCACAAAGCCUUGUCCUGCUCACGGAGCCUCAGGCGCUUUGCAUGGGCUGUCCAUGCUGCCUUGAAUGACUGCUCGCCCCCCCAGAACCUGGCCUGGCAGAUCCUUCUAGUUAUUUGGGUGGAGACAGAUCAGUGGUGACCUCAUCUGAGAGGCCCAGCCAACAAGUCCCCACUGCUUGGGUACCACCCUCUCUCCAGACAACAGAUGCCAGCUACUGCCCUGGCUUUCUCUUAUGGAAGGGCACUCACCAUGGGUUCCUCUCUCCAGGUAGAGAGCUGAGUGCCUCGGCCACAACAACCAGGAGCAGGGGAUGGUCGGAUGGGGUGGGGUGGGGGUGCAUGUGUUCCUUGCACACAUGUGACUCAACUGAGAGGCCUGAGUACUUCCUACCUCCCUUGCCACCCCAGGAUACUGGUUUUGAGUCCUGAUGCUCCUCAUGAUGGCUGUCACUAUCUCAGUUUCUCUGGAUGUCAAGUGGACUUGGGAGACAUAGCAGUGCCGCCGUAGCUCAGCAUCAUGGGGCAGCUGUUUCCGGGGUGGGGAGUCUGUGCAGCUCCUGUUCACAGGCCCUGGUCUCCAAGGCUUCCCUCCCAGGAAAAGCCCUGGGGGACAGUGCCUGGGACCCUCCCUUCUGAGUCGUGGUUCACACAUGUCCCUCCCAGAGUGGCAGACAUGGAUCAGGUGGAGAUAUUUAUUGACAGAAGGGGCCCUGGUCAGGCUGAGCCUCGAGCCUUCACCUCUAGCCAGAGCAACCAAGAGCACAAGAGGAUGGGUGCCUGGCAGUGGGGGCAGCAUGCCCAGCCUCGCUGUUCCCGGGCUUGGGAACCAGCCUGCAGCCGGCCUCAGGCGCUGGGAGCAUACUGCAGCACCAGCCGGUCAAAGUCGUUCUCCUGCAAUGUGGAUUGGGGACAGUGGGAGCAGAAAGAGAAACAGAGAACCUGCUUCCCCUCUAAGCCCAGUGUCUCAUCUGCGGACCAGGAUGCAAAAGAGCCCCCUUGCUUGCUGUGAUUUGGGAGGGGUGUAUUUAUUAUACCAACCUCAAAGUAACAGAGCCCAACCCAAGAUGGCCUGAAUACCAUCGCUGGCAAGCUGUCCCUCUUGCUGCAAAAAUGAGGUCUGAGACCACAGGGCAGACCCCGCCUGCCCCUCCUGCUCUCCAGGGGCCUUGACAAGAAACUGCUGGGAAAUUACCAGAACAUCCAAGCGGAUGACCUCACUCUACCCACCCACACAGGGCUCUGAAGCAGGGACACUGCAGGGAGCCCUAACUGGGCACCUGGAGCAGAGAACAGCAACCCAGACUCGUGGUGUUGCAGGUUCAAGGAGCUGUAUGGACCCCAGCCUCCUGCCCAGACCCAGCUCCAUGCCAGGGCUGCCCUUCUCUGGGGAAACUCAACUUCUCUCCACCUUAGUCUCCUCAGCUGUUGUCAUAGGGCACAGUGGCAUGUACUCACAGAAGCAAAACGAGGGCAGAGACACCCCACCAGGCCAGGCUUUCCUGACCAGCCCUGCAGGCAUACAGCAGUCCAGUUGAGUCAGACCCUGUCAAGGAGGCAUGGUGGCUGCCUGGCAGGGCAAGGCAGCUCCAAGUAAGCAGCCUGAGGAGCACCUGACUAAUGGCCCUGGCCCGCCCCUGAUCUGCAAACAAACUUCUGAUGGUAACUCGACCCCUCACAGAGAUACAGGGAGAAAGCUUCCUACUGGUGUCUGUUUCUCAUUGUAUCAAGAAAUGUUUUCCAAAGAUGGAAAGAAACUUUGACAUGUCCUCUGAUUAUAAAAAUAACACACAAGACCUCACAUGUUGGUCCGGGGAAGACAACAGCUGGGGCUUCCCCACAGGGCCUCACUCAAGGUCCCUCUUUUAGGCCAGGACAGGCCCAGGCAACACCUCACGUUUGCAGCCCACUCUCCCCUUGGUGAUGAACAGCGGGCAUCUCUUCCAAGUGCGGACUCAGGUGAGGAAUCACAUCAAGAGGCCCCAGCCAACAUGAUGGCAAGAACUUUUGCUCAGCUCAGGCCAACAGAAGCCCAGGCUGAUGGGAUCCUCCUACUUCUAAGAGAAACUACACUCAACAUUUCUAUUUGCAAUCCUGAUUCUUAGCUGGUUUGGUAUUAAUAUAAAUUCCCAUGUGAUCACACAUCAGGCCUGUGGGGGUCUCCUUCUGAAGCAAGCCCAAGCCCUGCAUCACCUGCUGCCCCCACUGGGAGCCGCGGUGCAGGCUGGGCCUGCCAUACCUUGUCCAGAGCCUCCUGGAGCACCCCUUCGGCAGCCUCCCAUCGGCCCUGGGCCAUGUGGCAGGCCGCCUGCCCGUUGAGCAGCAGCAGGGUGGAUGAGCACUUGUCAGCCAUUUCCUGAAAGAUGUAGUAGGCAUCCUGCAGCUUCUCGCCACCCUGCGGGGACAGUUCCAACAUCACCAGUUUGUCACCCUGCUUCCCAGCCCUGCCACUGCCCGCUCCCUCACAGAGCAGAUCACUUUGCUGAGGUGAUCCUGGCAUGGCCAGCGCGUGGCAGGCAGUCCCUGGACACCCCUGUCACCAGCAGUCCUGACCUCGACCACCUGGGUUCUGAAUGAAAGGUUCUGUCUGCCUGCUAAAGAUGUAGUAACAUCACUCUUACAGGGGACCCCGAGACCAAGACGUGAAAGCUUGUGGGAAAAUGCAGAGCUGGUGAAGUGUGGGCAGGGUUCAUCGGCUAAACUAGACACUAGAAACAAGCUUGUGUGAGGCCUCAGCCCCCCAAGGGCAGUGUAGGCACACGCAGACGGGGAACACAUCUUAAGCAGCCCAUACCAAAAAAAAAAAAAAAAAAAAAAAAGGCUUAGAGAAAGUCCAGUGCCAAAAGCCAG